UACGGGGGGGGCAAGCGUUGUUCGGAAUUACUGGGCGUAAAGGGCUCGUAGGUGGCCAACUAAGUCGGACGUGAAAUCCCGCGGCUUAACCGGGGAACUGCGUCUGAUACUGGAUGGCUAGAGAUUGGGAGAGGGAUGCGGAAUUCCAGGUGUAGCGGUGAAUGCGUAGAUAUCUGGAGGAACACCGGUGGCGAAGGCGGCAUCCUGGACCAACACUGACGCUGAGGAGCGAAAGCCAGGGGAGCAAACGGG
rnacentral:rRNA from 1 species